rnacentral:rRNA from 1 species
GAUUAGAUACCCUGGUAGUCCACGCCCUAAACGAUGUCUACUAGUUGUCGGGUCUUAAUUGACUUGGUAACGCAGCUAACGCGUGAAGUAGACCGCCUGGGGAGUACGGUCGCAAGAUUAAAACUCAAAGGAAUUGACGGGGACCCGCACAAGCGGUGGAUGAUGUGGAUUAAUUCGAUGCAACGCGAAAAACCUUACCUACCCUUGACAUGUCAGGAAUCCUCGAGAGAUCGGGGAGUGCCCGAAAGGGAACCUGAACACAGGUGCUGCAUGGCUGUCGUCAGCUCGUGUCGUGAGAUGUUGGGUUAAGUCCCGCAACGAGCGCAACCCUUGUCAUUAGUUGCUACAUUUAGUUGAGCACUCUAAUGAGACUGCCGGUGACAAACCGGAGGAAGGUGGGGAUGACGUCAAGUCCUCAUGGCCCUUAUGGGUAGGGCUUCACACGUCAUACAAUGGUACAUACAGAGGGCCGCCAACCCGCGAGGGGGAGCUAAUCCCAGAAAGUGUAUCGUAGUCCGGAUCGCAGUCUGCAACUCGACUGCGUGAAGUUGGAAUCGCUAGUAAUCGCGGAUCAGCAUGUCGCGGUGAAUACGUUCCCGGGUCUUGUACACACCGCCCGUCACACCAUGGGAGCGGGUUUUACCAGAAGUAGGUAGCUUAACCGUAAGGAGGGCGCU